rnacentral:rRNA from 1 species
AUUGAACGCUGGCGGCAGGCCUAACACAUGCAAGUCGAGCGGAUGAAGGGAGCUUGCUCCUGGAUUCAGCGGCGGACGGGUGAGUAAUGCCUAGGAAUCUGCCUGGUAGUGGGGGAUAACGUCCGGAAACGGGCGCUAAUACCGCAUACGUCAUGAGGGAGAAAGUGGGGGAUCUUCGGACCUCACGCUAUCAGAUGAGCCUAGGUCGGAUUAGCUAGUUGGUGGGGUAAAGGCGUACCAAGGCGACGAUCCGUAACUGGUCUGAGAGGGUGAUCAGUCACACUGGAACUGAGACACGGUCCAGACUCCUACGGGAGGCAGCAGUGGGGAAUAUUGGACAAUGGGCGAAAGCCUGAUCCAGCCAUGCCGCGUGUGUGAAGAAGGUCUUCGGAUUGUAAAGCACUUUAAGUUGGGAGGAAGGGCAGUAAGUUAAUACCUGGCUGUUUUGACGUUACCAACAGAAUAAGCACCGGCUAACUUCGUG